rnacentral:lncRNA from 1 species
GUUUUUGAAGAUAAACGACAAUUUAAUGUUAUUCAUACAGUAUUAGAAUAUAUGAAAUCUCACAUGCUAAUAAUAAUAAUAAUAAUUAGACGUAAGUAUUUUGGAUCGGUGGUUUAGGUCUAACGAGUUAUUAUUGCUAGCGGGUCGUGCUGUUACAAUUGGUAUCACGCUGAAUACUAGUCGAAAGUAUGAGAGCUAAGUGGGGCCUGAUAAUUCUAAUCUGUAAGUCUGUGAUCUGGGUUUAAUUGGAACUAACGUUAUAUGAAAACUUGUAUAAAU